AGAACAGGCGUAGAGGAGAAUGAAGGAGAAUGAGGAGAGUGAAGAGAAGAGAGAAGAAGAAGAAGAAGAAAGAAGAAAGAGGAAAGCGAAGAAAGAAGAGGAAGAAGAGGAGGAAGACUGAUGAUGAUGAUGGGCUCGCAGCCCACGCCUCAGGAGCGGUGCGAAGCCGAGGAGUACGACUUCGAGGAUGUGCUCGAUAAUUACGUGCUGCCCCUGGAGGGAGCGCUGGGCCCCGCCAGGACCCCCCCGGGCGCGCACCCCCCCCCGGGCGGGGCGCCGUGCGGGCCCCGGCAGCGGAGGGAGCGCACGGCCCAG